GACAGAGGUGGCAAGCGUUGUUCGGAAUUACUGGGCGUAAAGGGCUCGUAGGCGGCCAACUAAGUCGGAUGUGAAAUCCCCAGGCUUAACCUGGGAACUGCAUCCGAUACUGGAUGGCUUGAAUCCGGGAGAGGGAUGCAGAAUUCCAGGUGUAGCGGUGAAAUGCGUAGAUAUCUGGAGGAAUACCGGUGGCGAAGGCGGCAUCCUGGACCGGCAUUGACGCUGAUGAGCGAAAGCUAGGGGAGCAAACGGG
rnacentral:rRNA from 1 species